rnacentral:tRNA from 1 species
GGCUUUAGCCUUAACCGUAGAGCGCGUAACUUUUAAUCACGGUGUCCGGGGUUCGAAUCCCCGAUGAGUCACCA